UGCACUGCUCAACAGACACACAAACGAAGGCAUUUGAAUCGCAUUGUUACUUGUGGCGAAAAAUGGAUUCUAUUCGACAAUCGCAAGCGCUCAGCUAGUUGGUUAGAUCCUGGUUCAGUACCUAAAAAAUACCCUAACCUAACA